rnacentral:lncRNA from 1 species
UCUGUCUUUACACACUUAACUGCCAACCACUUUAACUCUUGGCGUCUAAGUUAAUCAAGAAUUGUGUGUGACCUUUUGUUAGUCCUUUAUCACUUUUUCUCAUUUUAAUAUAUUUCUAAGAUGGAUGAAGCAGUUGCGCCAGAUCGAAAGGAAGAGCGCAAUAGAAGAGUUGAAGAGAAGCCUCGUUGUUGUUUGCUAAUGUUUCCUUUGCAUGUUUCCAA